ensembl:lncRNA
GGAGUCUGGUCACCCUGUAGAGGACUUGGGUAGGAAGGAGGGAGGUGGGGCGCGCGCGCGUGCAUGCGUGCGUGCCUGUGUGUGUGGAUACCAGCUCCACAGGGAAUGAUUCACCCCUUAUCAAAAGCCAAGGAAGUGUUUGUUCAGAUUACAGUUUCUCUAAACUGAAAAGGACUUUAGAAAUGAUCUAUAAAGCCCCUUAUCACACAUAGACUUGGAGAAAUUAUCUCAUGGUGUACAGAAUCAAGGUGGCUUAUCUCCAGUGUCUUUCCUGGAAAACCAUCUUAGAGCUUACAGUCCACACCUCCAAUUCUACAGGCUUCAUUCUCCCCAUUCCUUGUGUCAUAAGAGACCAUAGCCAUCAUGUGCAAAAGUCCACUGUAUUAGUCAGCUUUCCCAUUGGUGCACACAAUACCUGAUGCCUACAAAUUAAAGGAAGAGAGGUUUCAUUUGGCUGAUUUUUUAAGGGGAUUCUGUCCAUGCUCAACUGACUCCGAGCUAGAAACAUCAUGAUGGAAAGAUGUUGUGGAGCAAAGCUUCUUAAUGCAUGGCAGUCAGGAAACUGAGCAGAAGAGUAACACCAGAAAGAGGGGGCCAGAACCAGGCAGAGUCCCCAAGUCAUAUCACCUUGAUCCACCUAGACACAUGCAGAAGUGGGCUCCACCAAUCCCCUAGAUUGCUCCCAAGCCAGUCAAGUUGAAAUGAUCAAGUUCAACUGCCACACUGAGCAUCCAAGCAAACAUGUUUCUGGGUGUAGCACUAAGGCCCCUGCCUCAAUCUUUCAUUCAACAACGUUUUAAUUCUGUUACGUUCUUGUGCAAUUUAUAUUCUUUGGGAGAGAUAAACAAGAUAACAUAAAUAAAACACAGACCAUUUCAGUGAGAGGUGCUAAAGAUAAAAAGGGGGAGGAGAUAAGGAGUCCAGACAGGUCACAUAUGCAGGCCACAGAGGAGGCAACAUAUGCUAAAAAGCCUUAAAGAAAGAGGAAGGUAGUCUUGAAGAUGUCUAUUGGAAAAAUAUCCCAGAAGAGGGGACAGAAAGGGCAAAAGCCCUGAGCAGGCCAGUGUGCAUGGAGAGGAGAGAAGACGGGAGACCGGCUAGAGAUGAGGUUAAAGAGGUUGGGAGUGGGGAGCACAUAAAGUUCUGAUGGGCUUUUCUUCUGAGCGAAUGACUAGGAAAGGAAUGCUGUGUUUAGGGAAGCUUGUAAUUUACGUUCUAAGAUGAUGCCUCUGGUUUCUGUGUCAAUAACAGAAGGAAAGGGUACAAGGCCAGACAAGGAGGCCAGUGGAAGGCUGUUGUGAGGGGCCAGCAUCCAGUGCCUUGGCAAAAAGAUUCAGAGAAACCCCAGACCUCUUAAAGAGCUUCUGUUCUUAGCGGAUGGAGACAAAUUAUACACAUCUACACUUAUAUGGCAAAUUCGGCUCAAGGAAAUCAGGUGACUUCUUCCCAGCCACAGAGGCAUAAAUACAGUCAGG